UACAGAGGGUGCAAGCGUUGCUCGGAAUCAUUGGGCGUAAAGGGUAGGUAGGUGGUCUCAUUUGUCCGGGUGAAAUCCUUGAGCUUAACUCAAGAAGUACCCUGGAAACGGUGAGACUGGAGUCCUGGAGAGGUCGUGGAAUUCCGGUGUAGCGGUGAAAUGCGUAGAGAUCGGAGGAACACAGAGCGAAGGCGGCGACCUGGACAGGUACUGACACUGACUACGAAGCGUGGGGAGCAAACAGG
rnacentral:rRNA from 1 species